UACGGAGGUGGCAAGCGUUGCUCGGAAUCACUGGGCGUAAAGGGCGCGUAGGCGGGGAGGUAAGUCGGGUGUGAAAUCCCUCGGCCCAACCGAGGAACUGCGCCCGAGACUGCUUCUCUUGAGUCCCGGAGAGGAAGAUGGAAUUCCCGGUGUAGCGGUGAAAUGUGUAGAGAUCGGGAGGAACACCGGUGGCGAAGGCGGGUCUCUGGACAGUUCCUGAC
rnacentral:rRNA from 1 species